rnacentral:tRNA from 1 species
AAAGAAUUAGUUAACAUAUAACAUUAGAAUGUCAAACUAAAAUUAUUAAUAAACUUAAUAUUCUUUA